rnacentral:piRNA from 1 species
UAACAUGAUGCCAACACUUUACCAACUG